GGUGGCUUAGUGGUUAGAGCGUCCACCUCGGAUGCGGGAGAUAUUGGGUUCAAUCCCCGGCAGAAUCA